UCGCACGACGCCUCCCUCACAGUUUCCCGACUCUCGUUUUCCGCAAGGAAUGUCUACUGCAGGCCCCCCUCCCGGGCUUGUUGCACACAGUAUGCCGCCCCCGAGCCUGUAUCAGGACUUCGUUGUGUGCCGCAGUUGGAUCUACUGUGUACUCUCGCCGUCAUCUUGCCGACGGUACAGCCCAGCCGGGGGAACGAGUUUCGGAACUUAACCCUAGGCAAACGCCUGGUUCAAGUUUGCGCCAAGUUGCUCAGCCAUCUUCUAUGUCGGCCGAGUCCUCCACGAAGUCAUCUCCCGCUGAAAAGCGGCGUGGCCGACCUGGAGUCUCUACGACGGACCGUUGGUGCGAGCGAUCCAGUCACCCUCGUGGUGCGUGAGAAGAAGGAAGCCAUGAGCCGAUUUGAGAAGAGCCUCUGGUCUGAGGACGCUCGUCUGCCCUUCUGCUGGAACGUGGACGUUGGUCAAGAGUAGACCGUCUCUGGGACGCUGGCGACAAGGCAGGCACGAUCCGUCGUCGGCGGUGCGUGACGCCUGGAGGAGGACGCAGGGCUGGCCACAUACAGUCAGAGAUGUUCGUUUCAAACACCAACUUCAGAGUCUGCCCCGAAAAGGCUCCAGGCUGGCCCUGGAAGCUGGGAAAUCUCCUGGGUACAAACGGAAACGACCGAUUGACCUGACCAUCUGCCGCCCCGCACAGUUCUCGGCCCUCCAGACGUCAUCCAUGGCCACCGGGAAGCUCUCCGGGGUGCCGGUGAAAACCUGUCUAUUUGCUGCAGAAAUCCCGAGACCGCACCUGGGCAACUUGCCGUUGGUGCGUGAUGCAGUCGCAUCUGGUCUGACCAGGCGCAUUAGCUUUCCAUCGCCGGAUGCUUUCCGCGGUGCUUGAAAGACGCCAGCCCUUUGUCGGGCUCCUCUGGGGCCUGGCAACUUCCUCGACUUCCGUCGAGAUGACAGCGCGGUUUUUCUCGACGUCUUUUGUCCGUGCGGAAAUGCCCUCCUUGCCUGCUCGCUCUUCGCGGAGCCGCAUGAUGGAGAGGAAACAAAAACUAGUCCUUGUUGGCAGUGCAUUACAAACAGAAGGAGCUUCCGGUCUCGGCGUUUUGUGCGAAUGGCGAUGGUCGGCUUUCAAGCCCGAUUUCGGUCAUGUGUUGUAUACACGGUGUGUGUGAGGGCCUGGUGGUGGUUGAUACAGAGUUCGGAUUCCGCGAUUGACAGAGGAUCGGGGGGGACGCGCCAUGAUCAACGUCAGACACGGUGCCGGGACCCAUCUCGAGUUGGAGUCAAAGUUUCGUACUUGUCCGGCACUGCGGAUGAUGGGGGACAUGGCAAAUCCUCCGGGAGCCGCAUCAGCGUUGGGCCGCAAACUCGAAUUCUUGGACUUGAAGGGCAGGCCGUGCGACGGUAGCUCUGGUUGUCCUCGUGCCAGAAAUGGUGAGAGGACAACCCCCCAU
rnacentral:telomerase_RNA from 1 species